GUCGCCCUUUCGGCGGGCACGGGGCGGCGAGAGCGGAGCUGUGCUGGUGCCUCAGCGGGACCGCGAACGGGACCGCCACCGGCAUCGGCCUCUCCCGGCGGGGCCAGCGGCAAACCCUAAGUCCCUGAGGCGCCGGAAACCGAUGCUGGCUGGGGCGGCUCCACAGCUGCGCCUUCCCCCGCCAUGUUACGGCGAGGCUCCCUCAGGGCCAGUGCCGCUUCCCCCCGGCCCCAGCGCUGAGCGGCGGCAGGACACGAGCGAGCUUGGCAGUGGAUAAAAACAUGAGGUGACCAGGAUGGUGUGACUGCAGAAAUGAAGAGUGAUUCUUCAGAAAAAGGCUGCCCAAGCAAACUUCAGCCACCUUUCUGACUUGAAACAGCAGCGGUGUGACAGGCUUUGGGGUGUGGCUGAACCCUGUCCCUGAGGCGUGGAGGAGCCCCAGAGCAGAUAAUUCCUUGAGCUGCAGAAUGUCUGACAAACUGGUUGGCAGCAUCCACGUCUGAUGGUUUUGGAGAUUCCUAAAACUUGAUCAUCUGUGUUUUCUCUACAUGGUUAAGAAGAAUUUAAAUUUAAAAAAACAACUAAAUAAAGACGCCACCUACAAGA